rnacentral:tRNA from 1 species
GCUUUCCUGCGGCUCAGGUGGUCGAGCAUUGUGUAACACGGCAAAGGUUGUGGGUUCAAAUCCCAGGGAAAGCA